rnacentral:lncRNA from 1 species
AAAGCAUGUGGCACAAAGUCUCACACGGGCAGCAUUCAGAAACACUGGUCGCUUCAGAAGGCUAAGACCCACUGUUUUAAACCUAUGGCACUGAGUCGGCACCUCAGCUCUUCACGGGACAAUAAGCUAAUAAUUGCCACUAUUAGAAAAUCCAAGGGAGAGUGCAUACUGUCCAUGUUUUCUUUGAUUCCCUUGGACUCAGAACAAUAUCACACACCACCACCUUGUCAACGUGAAUCAACGUGAAGAGCAGGAGGCUCUCACUCUUUACUUACCCGGAAGUAAGGUAUUUGUCCCAGUGACAGAAUGCUGACUAGCUCAAGG